rnacentral:lncRNA from 1 species
UGAGAGGAAUUACGAGGGGUUGAUGAGUAAUCAAAUUGAUUCCGAAUUGUGAAAUGAUUUCUUUUGUAAAUUGAUUUCAUUUUCUCUAUUUCAAAGACUUGUGAGUGGUAGCUUUGAUUAUACUCCUUUAUGAGUAAUUAAAUUAGAUCUGAAUUGUGAAAUGACUUCUUUUGUAAAUUGAUUUCAUUUCCUCUAUUUCAAAGACUUGUAGAGCCCUUCUCAUGAUAUAU